rnacentral:rRNA from 1 species
UACGUAGGGAGCAAGCGUUGUCCGGAAUCAUUGGGCGUAAAGCGCGUGUAGGCGGCCCGGAAAGUCUGGUGUGAAAUCUUAAGGCUCAACCUUAAGCUGUCACUGGAUACUGUCGGGCUUGAGUCCGGAAGAGGAGACUGGAAUUCCUGGUGUAGCGGUGGAGUGCGCAGAUAUCAGGAGGAACACCGGUGGCGAAGGCGGGUCUCUGGGCAGUAACUGACGCUGAGGAGCGAAAGCGUGGGGAGCGAACAGG